UCGUAAAAAGUGAAGGCAUCUGUUCCCAAAUCCAGCCACGUUUGUAGGAUUUAGACGUGACAGAGAAAUCCAAUUCGUUUCAAGAGAGAUCUGCGAGGUGACUGGGGAGACCGCAGCCCCCAUCCCUUUUUCCACCUCUAUCCCCUUCCCAAACCCAUCCCCGCUUCCGUCCCCAUCCUGCCCCACUUUGUCUUCCAGGUGAAGCCCCCCCCCGCUGAGGGCUGCUCCCCGUUUUUGCGGGGAGCACCGUGCCGGGGCUCCCUCCCCGCUCCGCUCCCGCAGCGCCGGGACCAGCGCGGAGCCGGGGCCGGGGCCGGUACCGGGGGUGCGGCUUCGAGCCCCACCUGCGGAGCAGACGUGAGGCACGGGGAGCGCAUCCGAGGGCAUUUCUCCUUCCCUCCCGCCCGAAGCCGGCUGCGCUCGUCACCUCGUCUUCAACGAGUUUGGGGUCCGAGGGCUAAUCCUGCGCAGCGCAGGGAUUUCAUCAGAGUGACAUUGGGCUAGCAACCUACAGCAGAUCCAACACUUCCUGAAGGAGUAUGAGCUCCCAGAGUCUUCAGAGAGUGGAAGUAAGUACUAAUUCCAGCUUACCUUGAGGUCUGAAAUGAUUGCCACUCUGCAAAGACAUUAUUUAUUUAUUUAUUUAUUUAU